AACGCACGAGACCUGCGGACCUGCGGAGGGAUCAUCAGUGAACGCCCUCACGGGCUUAUAACUAUUCCAAACCUCUGUGAACCGUGCCCUUCGGGGCUAUUUUACAAACAUGGUGUAAUGAACGUCAUAUAUCAUAACAAAACAAAACUUUCAGCAAUGGAUCUCU
rnacentral:misc_RNA from 1 species